rnacentral:lncRNA from 1 species
UUGCAUGUCAGGAAAAAACCGAGGGAAAUUACCAAGGAAAGCCCCUCGGAUGUGCAAAAAGUGAGAGAAUCCCUGCUUUGUUCCUGCUGAGUUGACUGAAGCCUGCAAAAGUUGUGCAGUGCAGGCCUGCCAGGGGCUAAACCCCUCGGUUUUUGCAGGAAAUCCCUGGCUUUUUUAUGGCUGUUCUGCAACCUAGCUAUGCUAGGAUUUGACCAACAAAGCGAGGGGCUUGUCCCUCACAUAGGCCCUGGCUUUUUUCCAUCCCUAUAUAAGCCAUGCACCGGUCUCUUAGCAGCCUAAAAAACACUUAGAAAAAUUUCUUCUUUCUUCUCAUAAAACACAGCCCCUUC